UACAGAGGUCCCGAGCGUUGUUCGGAUUCAUUGGGCGUAAAGGGCUUGUAGGUGGCCAACUAAGUCAGACGUGAAAUCCCUCGGCUUAACCGGGGAACUGCGUCUGAUACUGGAUGGCUAGAGUGUGGGAGAGGGAUGCGGAAUUCCAGGUGUAGCGGUGAAAUGCGUAGAUAUCUGGAGGAACACCGGUGGCGAAGGCGGCAUCCUGGACCACGACUGACACUGAAAAGCGAAAGCCAGGGGAGCAAACGGG
rnacentral:rRNA from 1 species